rnacentral:rRNA from 1 species
UACGGAGGAUGCGAGCGUUAUUCGGAUUUAUUGGGUUUAAAGGGUGCGCAGGCGGAUUUUUAAGUCAGCGGUCAAAUCGUGGGGCUCAACCCCAUCCAGCCGUUGAAACUGGGGAUCUAGAGUGUGCGAGAGGUAUGCGGAAUGCGUGGUGUAGCGGUGAAAUGCAUAGAUAUCACGCAGAACCCCGAUUGCGAAGGCAGCAUACCGGUGCACAACUGACGCUCAGGCACGAAAGCGUGGGUAUCGAACAGG